rnacentral:rRNA from 1 species
UGGGGAAUAUUGGACAAUGGGCGGAAGCCUGAUCCAGCAACGCCGCGUGAGGGAUGACGGCCUUCGGGUUGUAAACCUCUUUCAGUACCGACGAAGCGAAAGUGACGGUAGGUACAGAAGAAGGACCGGCCAACUACGUGCCAGCAGCCGCGGUAAUACGUAGGGUCCGAGCGUUGUCCGGAAUUAUUGGGCGUAAAGGGCUCGUAGGCGGUUUGUCGCGUCGGGAGUGAAAACAGCGGGCUUAACUCGUUGCUUGCUUUCGAUACGGGGCAGACUAGAGGUAUGCAGGGGAGAAUGGAAUUCCUGGUGUAGUGGUGAAAUGCGCAGAUAUCAGGAGGAACACCGGUGGCGAAGGCGGUUCUCUGGGCAUUACCUGACGCUGAGGAGCGAAAGUGUGGGAGCGAACAGGAUUAGAUACCCUGGUAGUCCACACCGUAAACGUUGGGCGCUAGGUGUGGGGUCCUUUCCACGGAUUCCGUGCCGUAGCUAACGCAUUAAGCGCCCCGCCUGGGGAGUACGGCCGCAAGGCUAAAACUUAAAUGAAUUGACGGGGUCUAGCUGUUUCC